rnacentral:SRP_RNA from 1 species
GCCGGGCGUGGUGGCUCACGCCUGUAAUCCCAGCACUUUGGGAGGCUGAGGCGGGUGGAUCACCUGAGGUCAGGAGUUCAAGACCAGCCUGGCCAACAUGGUGAAACCCUGUCUCUA